CAAAGAGGGCAAGCGUUAAUCAUAAUGGUUUAAAGGAUCCGUAGAAUGAAUUAUAGUAUAAUUUAGAGUUAAUAUAAUUAAUUAAAGAAUUAUAAUAGUAAAGAUGAAAUAAUAAUAAUAAUUAUAAGACUAAUAUAUGUGAAAAUAUUAAUUAAUAAUUAACUGACAUUGAGGGAUUAAGACUAGAGUAGCGAAACGGAUUCGAUACCCGUGUAGUUCUAGUAGUAAACUAUGAAUACAAUUAUUUAUAAUAUAUUAAAUAAUAAAUGAAAAUGAAAGUAUUCCACCUGAAGAGUACGUUAGCAAUAAUGAAACUCAAAACAAUAGACGGUUACAGACUUAAGCAGUGGAGCAU
rnacentral:rRNA from 1 species